rnacentral:rRNA from 2 species
AAAUUGAAGAGUUUGAUCAUGGCUCAGAUUGAACGCUGGCGGCAGGCCUAACACAUGCAAGUCGAACGGUAACAGGAAGCAGCUUGCUGCUUUGCUGACGAGUGGCGGACGGGUGAGUAAUGUCUGGGAAACUGCCUGAUGGAGGGGGAUAACUACUGGAAACGGUGGCUAAUACCGCAUAACGUCGCAAGACCAAAGAGGGGGACCUUCGGGCCUCUUGCCAUCAGAUGUGCCCAGAUGGGAUUAGCUUGUUGGUGAGGUAACGGCUCACCAAGGCGACGAUCCCUAGCUGGUCUGAGAGGAUGACCAGCCACACUGGAACUGAGACACGGUCCAGACUCCUACGGGAGGCAGCAGUGGGGAAUAUUGCACAAUGGGCGCAAGCCUGAUGCAGCCAUGCCGCGUGUAUGAAGAAGGCCUUCGGGUUGUAAAGUACUUUCAGCGGGGAGGAAGGUGUUGUGGUUAAUAACCGCAGCAAUUGACGUUACCCGCAGAAGAAGCACCGGCUAACUCCGUGCCAGCAGCCGCGGUAAUACGGAGGGUGCAAGCGUUAAUCGGAAUUACUGGGCGUAAAGCGCACGCAGGCGGUCUGUCAAGUCGGAUGUGAAAUCCCCGGGCUCAACCUGGGAACUGCAUUCGAAACUGGCAGGCUUGAGUCUUGUAGAGGGGGGUAGAAUUCCAGGUGUAGCGGUGAAAUGCGUAGAGAUCUGGAGGAAUACCGGUGGCGAAGGCGGCCCCCUGGACAAAGACUGACGCUCAGGUGCGAAAGCGUGGGGAGCAAACAGGAUUAGAUACCCUGGUAGUCCACGCCGUAAACGAUGUCUACUUGGAGGUUGUGCCCUUGAGGCGUGGCUUCCGGAGCUAACGCGUUAAGUAGACCGCCUGGGGAGUACGGCCGCAAGGUUAAAACUCAAAUGAAUUGACGGGGGCCCGCACAAGCGGUGGAGUAUGUGGUUUAAUUCGAUGCAACGCGAAGAACCUUACCUGGUCUUGACAUCCACAGAAGAAUCCAGAGAUGGAUUUGUGCCUUCGGGAGCUGUGAGACAGGUGCUGCAUGGCUGUCGUCAGCUCGUGUUGUGAAAUGUUGGGUUAAGUCCCGCAACGAGCGCAACCCUUAUCCUUUGUUGCCAGCGAUUAGGUCGGGAACUCAAAGGAGACUGCCAGUGAUAAACUGGAGGAAGGUGGGGAUGACGUCAAGUCAUCAUGGCCCUUACGACCAGGGCUACACACGUGCUACAAUGGCGCAUACAAAGAGAAGCGACCUCGCGAGAGCAAGCGGACCUCAUAAAGUGCGUCGUAGUCCGGAUUGGAGUCUGCAACUCGACUCCAUGAAGUCGGAAUCGCUAGUAAUCGUGGAUCAGAAUGCCACGGUGAAUACGUUCCCGGGCCUUGUACACACCGCCCGUCACACCAUGGGAGUGGGUUGCAAAAGAAGUAGGUAGCUUAACCUUCGGGAGGGCGCUUACCACUUUGUGAUUCAUGACUGGGGUGAAGUCGUAACAAGGUAACCGUAGGGGAACCUGCGGUUGGAUCACCUCCUUA